rnacentral:tRNA from 2 species
GGGGAAUUAGCUCAGCUGGGAGAGCGCCUGGUUUGCAACCAGGAGGUCACCGGUUCGAGACCGGUAUUCUCCA